GACGAACGCUGGCGGCGUGCCUAAUACAUGCAAGUAGAACGCACAGUUUAUACCGUAGCUUGCUACACCAUAAACUGUGAGUUGCGAACGGGUGAGUAACGCGUAGGUAACCUGCCUGGUAGCGGGGGAUAACUAUUGGAAACGAUAGCUAAUACCGCAUAAUAUUGAUUAUUGCAUGAUAAUUGAUUGAAAGAUGCUAUUGCAUCACUACCAGAUGGACCUGCGUUGUAUUAGCUAGUAGGUGAGGUAACGGCUCACCUAGGCGACGAUACAUAGCCGACCUGAGAGGGUGAUCGGCCACACUGGGACUGAGACACGGCACAGACUCCUACGGGAGGCAGCAGUAGGGAAUCUUCGGCAAUGGACGAAAGUCUGACCGAGCAACGCCGCGUGAGUGAAGAAGGUUUUCGGAUCGUAAAGCUCUGUUGUAAGAGAAGAACGGGUGUGAGAGUGGAAAGUUCACACUGUGACGGUAUCUUACCAGAAAGGGACGGCUAACUACGUG
rnacentral:rRNA from 1 species